AAAUAUUUAACUUUCUAAUGGCACGUUCACACCAAACACGUUUUGAGCAUCAGGCGCAUCUGGUUUACAUUCAAAGUGUAUGUGGAGGCGCAUCGAGGGCCGUAGAAGUGUGGAGCGCAUCCACAUAGACUUUGAAUGUAAACCAGACGUGCCUGACGCUCAAAACGCGUUUGGCGUGAACGCACCAAAAGUGCACACGUGUCGAACUUGAAGCGCCAGACGGUGUGAAUGCACCAUAACGAGCAGUGAACCUUAAUGGUGCCUCCACUUGUUUAGCUCAGGUCCAUGGUACUCUGAAUUAAAAGAUCUGUACUGUAGGGGUGACUACAUGGCUACUCCUUGACCUUAAAACAAAGGUCAAGGUACAAUAGAGUUACUGUUGUAGAGUGAACCAGUAUACAAUACAGUAAGGUACUGGGAAAUAAAUUAUAUAUAGUAUUGAUAAAAGCCUUUACUCGCUGCUAAUUGCUGUUCGCAAAAUAUUAAAAAUAUUACAGAAACAAACCAAAACAGUUACUUUCUGGUGGAGCUCAACUGUUUUCAUCGACUCGAGUGAACCAAUUUGAUUGCAACUAGCACUUCCCUUGCAUGGCAGGUUUUGCAAAGACAGGCCUGCAUUCUGAAACCAUGUUAGCAAUGAAACACACCAAUGUUUGGUCCUUGGGGAACACUCCCCUUCAUGUUUUGGAUGUUUCAACAUAACCGACUCAAACAGGACCACUUUAUGAAAUGUGAAAGCCGUUUGUUCCUCUUGAAACUGGCACCUUGUCAUGGGGUCAUUUGCACGAUAGUUUGCUGUAAAGGUAAAGGGUAAA